UCCCUGAUGGCUCAGAUGGUAAAGCGUCUGCCUUCAAUGCUGGAGACCCAGGUUCGAUCCCUGAGUUGGGAA
rnacentral:tRNA from 1 species